rnacentral:rRNA from 1 species
UACGGAAGGGGCAAGCGUUGUUCGGAAUUAUUGGGCGUAAAGGGCGCGUAGGUGGCUCUGUGUGUCUACCGUGAAAAGCGUACGGCUCAAACCCGUAUUUUUUUGUCGGUAGAAAACUGCAGAGCUUUGAGUGCCGGAGAGGGGUGGCGGAAUUCCCCCAAGUAGAGGUGAAAAUUCGUAGAUAUGGGGGAGGAACACCGGUGGCGAAGGCGGCCACCUGGACGGUAACUGACGCUGAGACGCGAAAGCGUGGGGAGCAAACAGG